rnacentral:rRNA from 1 species
AGAGUUUGAUCCUGGCUCAGGAUGAACGCCGGCGGUGUGCCUAAUACAUGCAAGUCGUACGCACUGGCCCAACUGAUUGAUGGUGCUUGCACCUGAUUGACGAUGGAUCACCAGUGAGUGGCGGACGGGUGAGUAACACGUAGGUAACCUGCCUCGGAGCGGGGGAUAACAUUUGGAAACAGAUGCUAAUACCGCAUAACAACAAAAGCCACAUGGCUUUUGUUUGAAAGAUGGCUUUGGCUAUCACUCUGGGAUGGACCUGCGGUGCAUUAGCUAGUUGGUAAGGUAACGGCUUACCAAGGCAAUGAUGCAUAGCCGAGUUGAGAGACUGAUCGGCCACAAUGGAACUGAGACACGGUCCAUACUCCUACGGGAGGCAGCAGUAGGGAAUCUUCCACAAUGGGCGCAAGCCUGAUGGAGCAACACCGCGUGAGUGAAGAAGGGUUUCGGCUCGUAAAGCUCUGUUGUUGGAGAAGAACGUGCGUGAGAGUAACUGUUCACGCAGUGACGGUAUCCAACCAGAAAGUCACGGCUAACUACGUGCCAGCAGCCGCGGUAAUACGUAGGUGGCAAGCGUUAUCCGGAUUUAUUGGGCGUAAAGCGAGCGCAGGCGGUUGCUUAGGUCUGAUGUGAAAGCCUUCGGCUUAACCGAAGAAGUGCAUCGGAAACCGGGCGACUUGAGUGCAGAAGAGGACAGUGGAACUCCAUGUGUAGCGGUGGAAUGCGUAGAUAUAUGGAAGAACACCAGUGGCGAAGGCGGCUGUCUGGUCUGCAACUGACGCUGAGGCUCGAAAGCAUGGGUAGCGAACAGGAUUAGAUACCCUGGUAGUCCAUGCCGUAAACGAUGAGUGCUAGGUGUUGGAGGGUUUCCGCCCUUCAGUGCCGGAGCUAACGCAUUAAGCACUCCGCCUGGGGAGUACGACCGCAAGGUUGAAACUCAAAGGAAUUGACGGGGGCCCGCACAAGCGGUGGAGCAUGUGGUUUAAUUCGAAGCUACGCGAAGAACCUUACCAGGUCUUGACAUCUUGCGCUAACCUUAGAGAUAAGGCGUUCCCUUCGGGGACGCAAUGACAGGUGGUGCAUGGUCGUCGUCAGCUCGUGUCGUGAGAUGUUGGGUUAAGUCCCGCAACGAGCGCAACCCUUGUUACUAGUUGCCAGCAUUAAGUUGGGCACUCUAGUGAGACUGCCGGUGACAAACCGGAGGAAGGUGGGGACGACGUCAGAUCAUCAUGCCCCUUAUGACCUGGGCUACACACGUGCUACAAUGGACGGUACAACGAGUCGCAAGCUCGCGAGAGUAAGCUAAUCUCUUAAAGCCGUUCUCAGUUCGGACUGUAGGCUGCACCUCGCCUACACGAAGUCGGAAUCGCUAGUAAUCGCGGAUCAGCAUGCCGCGGUGAAUACGUUCCCGGGUCGUGUACUCACCGCCCGUCA